GCACCCGUAGCUCAGCUGGAUAGAGCGCUGCCCUCCGAAGGCAGAGGCCACAAGUUCGAAUCUUGUCGGGUGCGCCA
rnacentral:tRNA from 7 species